rnacentral:lncRNA from 1 species
AAGUUGUCAUCUCCUUGGCUCUGAUCAACGAAUGUUCCUCCUGCCCAUUUCUCAGAUUUAUUGUAUGGUGUUACCCAGACGUUGUACUUUGCGAAACCAGCACGAAUGCUUGGGUAAUCAUCAUUUGACAAUAGAUUAUGUACAAAUGACCCAGGAAGCAAACGGUAUCCCACGUAGUUCCCCAUCUUAGUUUUCUUGUUAGGAUUCACUACUAACAGCUCUGCUGCACCUGAGCCCAGAUUAAUCCUUGCAUCAGACUCAGUUUUAGCAGUUUCACUAACUGCUGUCCAGUAACUCCUCCUAGGAGACUUCUUGUCCAUCACACGUCUUGUUUGCAACUUUGUCUUGAUAAACGAAUUAUCAUAACCAUCCACAUCUAGGUCAAGAUGGAAAUUCAGGAAAUGAUCGUGAUAAGUUCCAACAGUAUUUUGUGAUACUAAUGUGCCAUAAACUUCGUCCCUUAUCUGGUCCUUGUGGAUGUAUGUUGAUGCUUUUAUCUCCAGCAAUCCUGACAAUCCAAUCUGUCCAGAUAAAGCAUUGGAUCAGAACAUAUAAAAGAAUUCCUGCAAACUGCUUGGUGCUUCAAGAGUGAUCUUUUAGCACAUUUCUGGUAGCUAGAUUCAGAACUACUUUGUACCAAAAGAGAAAAGGUAAAAGGAUUUCUGACUAACGUUGGAAUACUGUAAUUUAAUAUCAAAUGUGCUCUUUCUAACUCUCAUGACUUACAUUGACUUUAAUUGAGCCAGCUUGCCUGAAUUCCCAGUCAACAAUGUAGUCAUAGUUGCCUAUAAUUGACACCAUUCUCACCACCAAGCUCACAUCAGGUCUAACCUCUGUAUACUGCAGAAUGAUCCCAUUUUCAGUCAAUUAUGCAAGUCUUUAGCAAGGAUAGUAGAGCACAUGUAGCUUUCUGAAUUGGAGAGAACAUUCACAUCAGAGAAUCUGCUUACCACUUUGCCUGGAAUGGCAGUUUCAGUAUGGCGCCAUAGUACAUCUCCACCAUAACGUUCAAAAACACAGAUUACGUUAUGAAUUUUUGUGGGAGUUCCAUUCUGUGAAAUGUAGUAGCCAUCAAGGAAUGCUGCAUUUUCAGGACAGUCUUUGGAUGGAAAAAGUGAUGUUGCACAUAGACCAAACCCAAAUUCACCGGCAUCAAAAUAUGUCCUAUAGUACCAUUCUUCAGUAAUGUCCAUAUAUGGCACAAAGAGCUCUGAGACGAACCCUCUAUACAGCACAUCACGAUAUGCAUCUUUAUCAUGGUCACGUACUGAAGCCAGUGAUAUAAUUGGACCUACUCGCAUGUCAAAAGCUAGAUGGAAUUUCCAGUCGGCCCAUCUAGCAUGAGAUGAAAUGUUAUUUGUCAGAGCAUAGAUAUUGUGGAAUCUAUAUGUUUGCGGAUCAUAACUAUCAAGUUCAAUGAGCAUGUAUGAGGAUUUGACCCAGUGCAACUAAUUGAAGGAAAUCUAUGAAUUUCACGGAAAUGAAUAUCAAAACUACAGCAAAUCCCUAGGAUUUUUCACUCAAAAUCAACAAGAAAUCACCUGCAGAUCAUGUUAUGCAGACCUUCCUUUAAUUUCUCUUUCUGCAGGUUAAAAUGAUCUAUAAAAAGAGUUAUGGCUGACUACUAUUAUCAGUUUCUACCUGUCAGUGUGAAAAAUUUUAACUAUUUCUCGAUGUUAACAUUCUUAAUCCUAAACUUGCUGCUACUUUUUCAAGGAAUGGAACCAUACCUAACAAUAUGUCCAUCAAUGGUAAAACUUGGACCAUGUGGCUGCAACAUUGUUAUUGGUUUUAUAGGUGAACUAACAGGCUGCUUCUGCUUCACUUCUCUGUAAUCUGUCCCAUCAGCUUUUGGUACUGGAACAAUCGCUCUAUCCUGAUACCCCGUAAUCUUCAUUUGAUCAAGAUCAACAGUGACUGUAAUACCCUCUAUAGGUCUCAUGUACAGAUUAAUUGUGCCAUCCAAAUAAUAACACGUAACUCUGAUAAUUCUUUUAGUCUUUUUAUCUCCAAACCAUCCAAUUGUGUAACUUUGGCAUACAACCUCUUCUUUCUUGAGCCCUCUCUUCUCAAUUGAUUUUAUAAAUGGUGAAUAACUAAAUGGUAAUUUGUUGGCAGCAGUUUGCUCAUCGAGAGUCAGCAAAGGGUAGCCAUGCCCAUCAUGCACCUUGUUGGAGAUGAUUGCAGAAGCUGUCAAGUCAACAAUGAUUUCGUGGUUUUGUUGGUUAAUUCGUGCGAGAACAAAGGCUUGGCGACGUGGGACUUUUGCAUUGUCAUCUAUCCAUGCUAGGACAAUUGGUUUAUCUGGUUCAGCCAAGCCGACAUAAUGGUAGCUAAGAUUGUGGCAGCUGGUUGAGCAAAUUGUGC